rnacentral:rRNA from 1 species
UACGUAGGUGGCGAGCGUUGUCCGGAUUUACUGGGCGUAAAGAGCGCGCAGGCGGUCGUUCAAGUCGCGUGUGAAAGCCCCCGGCUCAACUGGGGAGGGUCACGCGAUACUGAUCGACUCGAAGGCAGGAGAGGGAAGUGGAAUUCCCGGUGUAGUGGUGAAAUGCGUAGAUAUCGGGAGGAACACCAGUGGCGAAGGCGACUUCCUGGCCUGUUCUUGACACUGAGACACGAAGGCCAGGGGAGCAAACGGG